rnacentral:rRNA from 1 species
UACGAAGGGUGCAAGCGUUACUCGGAAUUACUGGGCGUAAAGCGUGCGUAGGUGGUUUGUUAAGUCUGUUGUGAAAGCCCCGGGCUCAACCUGGGAAUGGCAAUGGAUACUGGCAGGCUAGAGUGCGGUAGAGGGUAGUGGAAUUCCCGGUGUAGCGGUGGAAUGCGCAGAUAUCAGGAGGAACACCAGUGGCGAAGGCGGCUACCUGGACCAGCACUGACACUGAGGCACGAAAGCGUGGGGAGCAAACAGG